rnacentral:rRNA from 1 species
UACGUAGGGGGCAAGCGUUGUCCGGAUUUAUUGGGCGUAAAGAGCUCGUAGGUGGUUCGGUAAGUCGGAUGUGAAAUCUCCAGGCUCAACCUGGAGGGGUCAUUCGAUACUGCCGUGACUAGAGUUCGGUAGGGGAGUGUGGAAUUCCUGGUGGAGCGGUGAAAUGCGCAGAUAUCAGGAGGAACACCCGUAGCGAAGGCGGCACUCUGGGCCGAUACUGACGCUGAGGAGCGAAAGCAUGGGGAGCGAACAGG